rnacentral:rRNA from 1 species
GUACCACGGAGGCAGCAGUGGGGAAUAUUGGACAAUAGGCGCAAGCCUGAUCCAGCCAUGCCGCGUGAGUGAUGAAGGCCCUAGGGUUGUAAAGCUCUUUCACCGGUGAAGAUAAUGACGGUAACCGGAGAAGAAGCCCCGGCUAACUUCGUGCCAGCAGCCGCGGUAAUACGAAGGGGGCUAGCGUUGUUCGGAUUUACUGGGCGUAAAGCGCACGUAGGCGGACUAUUAAGUCAGGGGUGAAAUCCCGGGGCUCAACCCCGGAACUGCCUUUGAUACUGGUAGUCUUGAGUUCGAGAGAGGUGAGUGGAAUUCCGAGUGUAGAGGUGAAAUUCGUAGAUAUUCGGAGGAACACCAGUGGCGAAGGCGGCUCACUGGCUCGAUACUGACGCUGAGGUGCGAAAGCGUGGGGAGCAAAUAGGAUUAGAAACCCUGGUAGUCCCA